rnacentral:rRNA from 1 species
CCUACGGGGGGCAGCAGUGGGGAAUAUUGGACAAUGGGGGCAACCCUGAUCCAGCCAUGCCGCGUGUGUGAAGAAGGCCCUCGGGUUGUAAAGCACUUUCAGUGAGGAAGAACGCCUGGUGGUUAAUACCCAUCAGGAAAGACAUCACUCACAGAAGAAGCACCGGCUAACUCCGUGCCAGCAGCCGCGGUAAUACGGAGGGUGCGAGCGUUAAUCGGAAUUACUGGGCGUAAAGCGCGCGUAGGUGGCUUGAUAAGCCGGUUGUGAAAGCCCCGGGCUCAACCUGGGAACGGCAUCCGGAACUGUCAAGCUAGAGUGCAGGAGAGGAAGGUAGAAUUCCCGGUGUAGCGGUGAAAUGCGUAGAGAUCGGGAGGAAUAACAGUGGCGAAGGCGGCCUUCUGGACUGACACUGACACUGAGGUGCGAAAGCGUGGGUAGCAAACAGGAUUAGAUACCCUGGUAGUC